AUUUUUUUUAAAUUUAUGGUUAGGUAAAAGGAGCUGUGUACUGGAUGGUAUCUGCACAGCAUGAUGUGGCUGUAUGUCUGGGGCUACACAUUCAGUGGUAUACAAGAGCAGGUUGCUCAGCAUCUGAAAGGAUGUAAGAUUUACUUUGUACCUGCACUUUUCUUUCUAUUUUUAUUAUGUUACUUUUUUUUUUUUUUUUUUUUACAGGAUUUGUUUUUGUGCCUUUUUUACUGAAAUCGGAAAGAAUGCUGCAUCUACCCCAGGCAGAACAUCUGUGCAACUGGAUGAAGAGGAGGAGACAUGGCCAAUGCAGCAAAAAGAUUGUUACAAGGAUGAACAAGAGAAGUUGGAACUUCUGAUUUCAGUGCACUGCUGAGGAGUGAGUUCCCUGUGCUUCAUGAAGUGAUUCUGAGAGAGCCACCUUUUAGAUUACACUUGUUUCUGGAACAUACUGGGUGCCUGGCAGGAAAAUUCCCUCAUGAAUGGCACUGACUCCAACCUAGGCUUUCCUGAGAGCCAGUGAGUCCUUUGGAACACUCCAAGUUGACAAAGAUGUUGAGUUAACCAGUCACUGUUAAAAUGUUGCAGAAAUUUGGAACACAACUAUGAUGUAAUUCAAGUACCUGCACGGUUCAUCCUGUUGUCC
rnacentral:lncRNA from 1 species